rnacentral:lncRNA from 1 species
AGAGCAGAAGAGCUGUCCUGAAGAGAUGUAGUUCAGUGGAGGUACCAGGGAAAGGACUCUCUCCAGCCUGCAGGCUGUCACUCCUGCUGGCUGGGCCUGGAUGGUGCCUGAAGGCUGCAGUGGGCUCCUGCUUUCCCAGCUCCUGUGAGCUUUCACUCCUGUUGGAUGGUGCCUUUCAGUCAUUUCUGCUGCUGUUGAAAGCAACCAACAGAAGAAUAUUUCUGUGGCAACUGAAAGUGCCUGACCAACAACACUAACUGGGGGAAGAAGGGUCUACUUUGCCUCACAGUUGGAAGAGAUGCAGUUCACCCUGGUGGGCAGGCAGGGCAGCAGGAGGCACUGAAGCAGCUGGUGAGACUGUGGCUGCAUCCGGAAGCAGAGAAAGAGGAAUCCAGUGCUCAGCUCUGCCAUUGUCUUCCUGACUCAGGCCAGGACCGGUCUGUGGGAUGGCGACACCCUCCUAGACACACCCAAAGAUCAAGACGGCAAUGAAGAUGAACUAAGACAUCAACCAUAGCUGCUCUAUUGUAUGUUACCUAUGUGACUUCUGUGCAAUUAUGUCAGGGCUGAGUGGGUUACAACACAGGGUACACCCAGCCCCCUGGGCAUUUAUUACCUGGCCCUUUAUGGAAAAGAAAAAGUGCGGGCCUCUGUUGUAUGGGAAGGUUUUCAGAGUGCCAGUUAGCUCACUGGAGAUGAGUUAACGGAGCAUGUGAAUAGCCACAGGGAAGGGCUUGCAUGCACCGCAGCUCACUGUGGGUCCCUCCCACUGGCUGUAAGUGUGUGCUUGCAUACCCCGAGCUGUGUGAUUCCUUGGCCUUGUAAGUCCUGGAGGAGAGGCUGGCAGAGGGAAACCCUCCCUCCCUCCCCUCCCUUCAACUUUCCCCGGAGCCGGACUUGGCUCAGCCUUGGUGGUGAUUUCAGUCACCUGCUGGUAACCUGGGCUUUACUCGACUCCCACCGUGCUAUAAACUUCAUAACAUAGAAUGUA